CUGAACCUUCCCUGGUGCAGCUUGAAGCCAUUCCCUCUAGUCCUAUCACUAGUCACACGAGAGAAGAGGCUGACCCCCAGCUCACUACAACCUCCCUUCAGGUAGUUAUAGAGAGCAAUAAGGUCUCCCCUGAGCCUCCUCUUCUCUAGACUGAACAAUCCCAGCUCCUUCAGCUGCUCCUCAUAAGGCCUGUGCUCCAGACCCCUCACCAGCUUUGUUGCCCUUCUCUGGACACACUCCAGGGCCUCGAUGUCUUUCUUACAGUGAGGGGCCCAAAACUGGACACAGUACUUGAGGUGCGGCCUCACCAGUGCUGAGUACAGGGGGAUAAUUACUUCCCUGUUCCUGCUG
ensembl:lncRNA